rnacentral:lncRNA from 1 species
AGAUGUGCAAGUGUGAUAUAUGGUGGACUAGGUUGCUCCUUUAUUUGCUACACUCUCUCUACUUGUAUAUUGAGACAUGGCUAGCAUUUUCUUUUUUCUUCGAGCUUUAUGUGCUCAAUUUUUUUUUUGUGGACUUGCACAUGUCCAUCUUUUUAUUUCAUUUUGCCUAGGCUUUUGAUGUCUCAUUUACCAAAUAAUGCUUAGAGAGAGAUAUUCUAACAUUUAGAGUAUGGAGCAACCUAUUUAGUGGAUGCGAAAUACAUGUGGUUGCGUACUUCCAGUGUAGAAGCAGCAUAUAUAUAUGUGGUGUGUACGUGAUCUUGAUCUUAGGAGCAUGAAAAGUCUCUUAACAGGGGUCAACAAGACUUGACGACACUCAACACAAAGCAAAUAGCUUAUGUGGAAAGGUUGCAAUCAUGUAAAGUAGAUAUAGCUGUGGUAGGAAUUCAUCACGCUUGAGGAACAAUUAAGGUUUUGAUCAUUUUAAGAAUAAAUCUCUGAUAAUCAUGCAUGCUUAGAAUAAUAUUAUAGCAGCUCUUGUCUCACUAUCUCAUGUCCCACAACAACUUAGACUUAGUUCUAGCACUUGCAACCCACAAAGUUUUCAGGUUCAUGGCAGUUUAAGUGAGCUAAGUGAUCCAUACUUGGAGAAAUACUAAGUUGUAUACUAGGUACUAGAGAAACAUUAACAAGCAACUAGUCAUCAUUUCCAUGAGGGAUAUAGACAUACAUGAAGCAUAUAUGCUAAAGGAAAAUGCUAAUUUUUUUUAGAGCAGGAAUGAUAAAAUGCAUGGAAAUAAAUAGGAUAGAAUACUUACCUUGGUGGGGGAGAGGAUCUCCCCCAAGCUUGUCCUUCCUCACUGGGGUGGAUACGAUGGAUAUGGUGGAUAUGGUGGAGGAUAUUGCUGUGGAGGAUAUUGUGCAGGAGGAGGUGGAUAUGCAUGUGGUGGUUGAGGAAUGUAUGGUGGUACGGGCAGGUGAUAUGAUGUGUAGGCUUGGCACCAGUUUCUAUUGCUGCUCUCC